AGAACUAGUAUAUUUAAAAAAUUAUACGUAUUUUGAUCCGCCGCCACCAAAUUCCACUCUACAAUCCUAACCCUCUCGCAGAUUCGUCAUCUUUCUGUGUUGCUUCCACUGAUAAGUGAAAAUGCCCUCUGUCCGACCAACAUUGACUCCUGAGAUCGCCAACAAUGUCACCAAGCUUUAUCGUGAAUGCCUACGGCGAGCUCAUUCUUUUGAGCCUCAGCAGAACAGAGACUUUUAAUUACUUUGGUGCAAUCGCAGUUCAGGCAUCAUAAGGAUGAGACCAACCCAGAUAAGAUUCAAAAGUAUAAGGACGAUGCGGUAAGAGGAGUGAUCGAUCAUAUGAUAUUCGAAGCCCACCAAACGCAAAGCACUGAUGAAAGCUGAAUGCCAGUAUGUUCUUAAGUUGCUAUUAGCUUUCGUUCCUUUAUGGUGAGUUGUGGGGAAUAUUUUCUUCAAAGUAGGGUAAAUUUGAUGCUGCCUUUGUCCAUAGCAUCACAUUGAUAGGAUAAUGUAUGCAAAACCAUAAUUCGUGUUUAAAAUUUGAUUGACUUU